rnacentral:lncRNA from 1 species
AAGAAUUAAGCUUUUAACUAGUACACACCUCAAGGAGACCUUCUAUAAUCUUAACUGAUACAUGGCUUGCUCCAUCAGGUCCCAUCUUCUGGCACCUUGCCAUUUUAACAUGGUCAAUAUCUCCAUCUUCUAUGUCAAACAAAAUAUAAGUUGCUUGUAGUAAGUAGAUCACAUUUUGAGUUGACAUCAAGCUACAGAUGAUCAGGAAACCCCUCCCUAAAUUCUCUAGAUAUCUCAAACUGCAAGAUCCAAUGCCACAUAUAAGAGAUUUGAUUGGUAGCAGUG